GACGAACGCUGGCGGCGUGCCUAAUACAUGCAAGUCGAACGCAGUGGGGACGGGUGAGAAACAAGUGGGUAACCUCCCAUCAGAGGGGAUAACCCUUGGCAAAAGGUGCUAACACGAAACUGAUGGAUGGACUCGCGGUGCAUUAGCUAGUUGGUGAUGUAACGGCUCACCAAGGCAACGAUGCAUAGCCGACCUGAGAGGGUGAUCGGCCACACUGGGACUGAGACACGGCCCAGACUCCUACGGGAGGCAGCAGUAGGGAAUCUUCGGCAAUGGGCGAAAGCCUGACCGAGCCACGCCGCGUGAGUGAAGAAGGUUUUCGGAUCGUAAAACUCUGUUGUUAGAGAAGCGGUAUCUACCCAGAAAGCCCCGGCUAACUACGUGCCAGCAGCCGCGGUAAUUC
rnacentral:rRNA from 1 species